rnacentral:rRNA from 1 species
ACGCGGCGUGGGGGAUGAAGCAUUUCGGAGUGUAAACCCCUUUCGAUUGGGACGAAUGCCUCGCAAGAGGAGUGACGGUACCAGUAGAAGAAGCCCCGGCUAACUACGUGCCAGCAGCCGCGGUAAGACGUGGGGGGCCAGCGUUGUUCGGAAUUACUGGGUGUAAAGGGUUCGUAGGCGGUGCGGCAAGUUGGGAGUGAAAUCUCUGGGCUUAACCCAGAGGCUGCUUCCAAAACUGCUGUGCUUGAGUGUGGGAGAGGCGCGUGGAAUUGCAGGUGUAGCGGUGAAAUGCGUAGAUAUCUGCAGGAACACCCGUGGCGAAAGCGGCGCGCUGGACCACAACUGACGCUGAGGAACGAAAGCUAGGGGAGCAAACAGGAUUAGAUACCCUGGUAGUCCUAGCCCUAAACGAUCAGGACUUGGGGUGCCACCCGUUCGGGUGUCGUCCCGGAGCUAACGCGUUAAGUCCUGCACCUGGGGAGUACGGUCGCAAGACUGAAACUCAAAGGAAUUGACG